CAGAUUCAUCACUGUACCUCAGGGAUAAUUAGACAAGUCUUUAUACAUGUAGAAGUUAUCAUUUAGAUCAAGUCUAGACUUGAUCUAAAUGAUAACGAUUAUAUCAGCUGAUAUAAACUCCUUUAUUAAAGGUUACAAAUACUGUUAAUAGUACCAAGUCUGAUUUCCAAAUAUUUCCUAGAACAUUAGGUUUGGUUUUAUGGAUUCUUUUGCUGAUGCAAGUAUACAAAUUUAAAAAAAAUAUAUAAAUACUCGGGAAGGCAACAGACUGUACUUCAAGGACAAUGAGACAAUUCUUGAUAAUAGAAGAAUGCAUUUAGAUCAAGUCAGAUAUUAAAGAAACUUUUAAUGCAACAAGUUGGAUUUGCAAAUGUUAUAUAAUUCCUAAAAAUAUAAAUAUAGAUUCUGAGAAUCCAGUGCAACGUGCCUAUUCACAUAUCCUGCCUGCAAUAGACUACUCUGACUUCUGAUUUUUAAUGUCGUUACACUGGAUCAUCUUCUCAGUUCUGAAUCCUGCUAUAGGCCAUCUCCAACACAGACUUUUGGAAUAGUCUAACUGAACAUCUCACAGUUUCACACAGACCUUAUACACAAGUUUUUGUCAAAUUAUCCACUUUCAUCUAUUGAUAAAGUCUA